GGUCUUGUCAGAGGCAACCGUCCCCCCUACCUAUGGAGUGUCCUUCGGGACUAUGGACAUAAACGCGCUCGUAAUAAGCGGAUCGGACCCGGGGGCGGUACCCGGCGGCUCCACCAACAUCUGGUCAUUUGCCAGCGAUGGGGCCGAAACAGGAUCGACGAACGUCUAAAGGGGUUUGCUUUGUCCCGGUGAGUUACCACCGUUAUCGGUACACAUAAGCUAGUUGCAAAUGACAACCAUGCUCCGGUCGCGGUCGCAGCGUAAGCUGUGCCCAACACCGAAAACUUAAGCCCUAAGGCUUUGCAGCUUUAGGCGGGGUUCGCAGGCACCUGGCAACAGAAGCCUGCACU
rnacentral:tmRNA from 1 species